CAACUUGAGAGUUUGAUCCUGGCUCAGAAUCAACGCUGGCGGCGUGCCUCAUACAUGCAAGUCGAACGCGAAAGCGACGGGUGAGUAACGCGUGGGUGACCUACCUUCGAGUGGGGGACAACCUUCCGAAAGGGAGGCUAAUACCGCAUGACAUCCCGCCCUUGGACGGGCGGUGAUCAAAGCCGGGGAUCUUCGGACCUGGCGCUUGUUGACGGACCCGCGUCCGAUUAGCUUGUUGGUAGGGUAGCGGCCUACCAAGGCGACGAUCGGUAGCCGGCCUGAGAGGGCGGACGGCCACACUGGGACUGAGAUACGGCCCAGACUUCUACGGGAGGCAGCAGUAGGGAAUUGUUCGCAAUGGGCGAAAGCCUGACGACGCAACGCCGCGUGGAGGACGAAGACCUUCGGGUU
rnacentral:rRNA from 1 species